UCAAUUUCAAUUUUUAUA
rnacentral:miRNA from 1 species